rnacentral:lncRNA from 1 species
UUUUUGUCUCUUUCUCGUUCUCUUUCUAAUUCUUUCUCCUUCUCUCGCUGCAGCAGUUUAUCUCUGUAGUGUUCUACUUGUUCCUGGAAGCUUUGGCCGGGUUUUUUGGGUCUCUUUCCAGAUUCCAAUUCAUCUUGAAACUUCAUAACUUUUAGCUCAAUUUCACGAAGCUUAGCUCGUUUCUCCUCACUCAUUUCGGAGUACUUAGAGAACUUAGACUCAGUCAUCUCUUCUCUGACUGGGUUAGAAUAUAAAUGAUGCUCUUCCGACUUGGAACUCUGGGUGUCUUCUUCACCUUCACUCUCUUCUUCCUGAUUUUGGUUUUCUUCUUCUUCUGAUUCUUCAUGCUGGUCACAUAACUCCCACUUGGAAGUUGUCACCAUUUGUGCUUCCAACUCAGAUUCAUCUACAGCCUCCCACUUUGAUGGGGCAACUUUAAAUAUGGGUUCAUUCUUCUUUGAGUCUUCAGUUGCACCCAAAGGCACUCCAUCCAGAUCAUCAUCGAGACUUUUUAUAGGGACGCCAUCAAGAUCAUCGAUGGGAGUAGCAUCAAUGGGAAUUCCAUCCACAUCUUCCAGAGGAGCACCAUCAAGCUCUUCCUCAAUGGGAGCACCAUCAAGAUCAUCUGGCACAUCCUCUGUUUCCUUUUCUUCAAUGAUAUUUACAAGUCCUAAGAAAAUAUUCUGAAGUUUGAUCAAAAAUGGUUCUGGAUAAACUGCCCAAUCUUCCCAUGCUUUGAAGCAGGUCAUUACUCGUUGCUUAAAAUUUUCAGAUUGUAAAUGGCCUUGAAUUGUACGAUAAAUAGCAUUGAGGUCUGAAAAUAUCUGACAUAGCUUUGUUUCAAAAAAAUUCCUAUAAUAUGAAGCAUUGGCAACUUUGGCUGAAGAGUUAUAUAAAACAUCAGAAACCAAAUAUAAUCUGGCAAUCUUCUUGGGAAGCGGCGUCUUUAAGAUGGACAUUGACUCAGUAAUGCAGUCCAGUAUUUCUUCAGCAGCUUCAGCAUUAUUAAGACAGAAAACCAUGGCAUCUCCAAUAUCAUUUUUCCUUGGAGUUAAUCCUCGCAAGAUUUCUUCUAAUUUCUCCCGCUGUUCUUCCUUGAGUGCUCCCUUUUUACUAGGCUCUUCUACAAACGCUUCUGUCUCCUGCUCCUCUGACAUCCCAUGAAGGUAUGGAUUUAAUGGUGGUGGCCUCCAAAAGGAUCCAUUUUUGAACAUCCGAAAAUCUUCUGUCCGCCAUUUUGUCGGAGAAUCUCCCUGCAGAAUAGAAUAAAGCUUCCACCUGUAGUAAACGUGGGCUGGUGUCUGGUUUUCAAAUAAGAACCUGAACAUAGGAUUGUUGAUUUCUCUGUUCAUAAUCAUAGCUUCAAACAUUGGCCCUUCACGUACAACAAAUUCUAUCAUUCGGUGUAUCAGGGCGAGUAAAUUCCUUUCUGUUGGGAUAACCACUUUGACUAUGGCUUGCGACAGAGUCUUCUCAAAAUCCUCCUUGUUUUUAGGUGGUGGUAACAUGGGAGCAUUGGGGUCUUUUAAUCGCUCUCUAGGCUGCGCAUUAAAAGGCAGUCCGGAUGGAGGUGGGGGAAGUGUGUGUUCCAUCAUAGAAGGCGGAAUGUAUAUUGGAUGUGGAGGAAUAGGUACAGCUUUACCCCAACCUAACUUCGUUUCAAAAGACAUAAUCAUUUUUCCAUUUAAAUUUUUUAGAGCUCUUUCAGCAUCUCUUCUAUUCAUAAAAGCCACAAAGCCACAAUUUCUUUCUCGUGCUCUUUCUUCAUCAGUUCUAGGCCACAUAAUUUUUACACUAGCUAAUGGUCAAAAUCUUCCAAAUUCUUGGCACAGCAUUUCUUCAUUCAUCUGUGGAUUAAUAUUUCCGAGGUAUAAGUUUGUAGUGCUGGGAUCUCCUACAUCAUGUGAGCCCGGUGCAUAAUCAUCAAGAACAGACGAUCUAUUUCUUCUUGAAGGCACAUCCAUGGAACGUCGCUGACCAUCAGAGUCUGACAGAGGAGGCUCAAACCGACUUAACCUGCCUUUUGUUUUAUGUCUCUCAUCACGUUCUUCCUGAAUUUGUUUUAGUUCUUCUUUGAAAAGUUCCAAAUUGCUUUUUUUCUUUUCCUUCUCCCCUUUCUUCAGUGGAGGCUUUUUCGUCUCUAUCACAAGAAGAGAUGGUGGCCUUUCAUUGGAUGAUUGAUUUGGAGGAUUCUUUUGAUCUGCAAACCUUGAAGAUGGCUUAUAGAUUUUACCUCUUUUUUCAUCUGCUUCAUGUUCAUCUUUAGCUGCAUUAACAACCCCGCCUCGAACAAACGUUUUCACCUUAUUACCAUCACUUCCUUCAAAAGCAGCAAGAAAUUCCUCAUAAAUUUCAGCAGCUGCCUUUUCAUCCUCCUUUUUCUUCAGUUCCUCUUGUUCCUUCUUACUUAGAGUUCGCUUUGCUGUGCUCAUUUUUCCAAUACUGAAUGCUUUAAGCUUGUUUUCUAGAAGAGGAUGAGCAUCUGAAGAUCCAGAUGAAUGAACAUCCGAUGAUCGGCUCUACAAGUAUCUUUGAACUGGCCUUCUGAGAUCCGCCUGGCGUUUUGUCGGCCAUCUUGAGCUUUGCUCCUCCUUCC